GCCAGCUUGGCGCAGUGGUAACGCGUCGCACUUGUAUUCUAUAUGCACAUGCGAAGAUCACUGGUUCAAUUCCAGUAGUUGGCA